AUGUUUCCUCUCUUCACACAAAUCGUAGACCCUUGCUUUCCUGUUUGGUUUGAUUGUUUGAUUUUUGUUUGUGUUUCAUCAGAUUUUAUUUGUGUAGUGAGAAAAAGUGGGUAUUUCAUCUGAUUUUUGUCUCUAGGAUGAAGCCAGCUCUAAAAUUUCGAUCCUAAGUCUUCAAUUUCGAUUAUAAAAGAUUGGGUAUUCAGUUGAAGAGGUUACACCAGAUGAAAUUUAGGAGGCGGAGUUUAAUCACAAAGACGAUGCAGAGGAAAGGAAGAACCCUUGAAUUUAGGAGGGGUUCUAUGGAGAACACAAUAUUUGACCAGCAAACCUGCUAGAAUGUUCUACAAUUUUGGAAUGUUUCUAUGGAGAACAACUGCUAUGAAUCUUCUAUGAAGAACAACAGUCUUGUUAGGUCCAUGCUUCGAGUUGCGAUUGUUGUUGUCACCUUUCCCAUCUUUGAACGACUUGUGUUCAGAUAUAUGAGCCUUGUUAGCCAUGUCCCUUGUAGAUGACACGUUCUUAUCUUUGGU